rnacentral:misc_RNA from 1 species
GAUGAAGAACGUAGCGAAAUGCGAUACGUAAUGUGAAUUGCAGAUUUCAGUGAAUCAUCGAAUCUUUGAACGCACAUUGCGCCCACUGGUAUUCCGGUGGGCAUGCCUGUUCGAGCGUCAUUAUCCUCCCUCAAACCCCGGGUUUGGUGUUGGACCCAAGUUGUGUGAACAACUGGUCUCAAAGACAAUGACGGCGUCCGUGGGACCCUCGGUGCAACGAGCUUUUAGGAGCACGCAUCGAGUUGCAAGGACCUUCCGGGCCGGUCUCCUUUACCAUUUUACAAGGUUGACCUCGGAUCAGGUAGGAAUACCCGCUGAACUUAAGCAUAUCAAUAAGCGGAGGA